rnacentral:rRNA from 1 species
CUUCCCGUAGGGGUUGACCUGCGGAGGGAUCAUUG